rnacentral:rRNA from 1 species
GAUGAACGCUGGCGGCGUGCCUAAUACAUGCAAGUCGAGCGAACAGACGAGGAGCUUGCUCCUCUGACGUUAGCGGCGGACGGGUGAGUAACACGUGGAUAACCUACCUAUAAGACUGGGAUAACUUCGGGAAACCGGAGCUAAUACCGGAUAAUAUAUUGAGCCGCAUGGUUCAAUAGUGAAAGACGGUUUUGCUGUCACUUAUAGAUGGAUCCGCGCCGCAUUAGCUAGUUGGUAAGGUAACGGCUUACCAAGGCAACGAUGCGUAGCCGACCUGAGAGGGUGAUCGGCCACACUGGAACUGAGACACGGUCCAGACUCCUACGGGAGGCAGCAGUAGGGAAUCUUCCGCAAUGGGCGAAAGCCUGACGGAGCAACGUCGCGUGAGUGAUGAAGGUCUUCGGAUCGUAAAACUCUGUUAUUAGGGAAGAACAAAUGUGUAAGUAACUAUGCACGUCUUGACGGUACCUAAUCAGAAAGCCACGGCUAACUACGUG